GACGAACGCUGGCGGCGUGCCUAAUACAUGCAAGUUGAGCGCUGAAGGUUGGUACUUGUACCAACUGGAUGAGCAGCGAACGGGUGAGUAACGCGUGGGGAAUCUGCCUUUGAGCGGGGGACAAAAUUUGGAAACGAAUGCUAAUACCGCAUAAAAACUUUAAACACAAGUUUUAAGUUUGAAAGAUGCAAUUGCAUCACUCAAAGAUGAUCCCGCGUUGUAUUAGCUAGUUGGUGAGGUAAAGGCUCACCAAGGCGGUGAUACAUAGCCGACCUGAGAGGGUGAUCGGCCACAUUGGGAAUGAGACAAGGCCCAAACUCCUACGGGAGGCAGCAGUAGGGAAUCUUCGGCAAUGGACGAAAGUCUGACCGAGCAACGCCGCGGGAGUGAAGAAGGGUUUCGGAUCGUAAAACUCUGUUGGUAGAGAAGAAAGUUGGUGAGAGUGGAAAGCUCAUCAAGUGACGGUAACUACCCAGAAAGGGACGGCUAACUACGUG
rnacentral:rRNA from 1 species